UUAAGCGACUAAGCGUACACGGUGGAUGCCCUGGCAGUCAGAGGCGAUGAAGGACGUGCUAAUCUGCGAAAAGCGUCGGUAAGGUGAUAUGAACCGUUACAGCCGGCGAUGUCCGAAUGGGGAAACCCAGUGUGAUUCGUCACACUAUCGUUAACUGAAUACAUAGGUUAACGAGGCGAACCGGGGGAACUGAAACAUCUAAGUACCCCGAGGAAAAGAAAUCAACCGAGAUUCCCCCAGUAGCGGCGAGCGAACGGGGAGCAGCCCAGAGUCUGAAUCAGCUUGUGUGUUAGUGGAACGGUCUGGAAAGUCCGACGGUACAGGGUGAUAGUCCCGUACACCAAAAUGCACAGGCUGUGAACUCGAAGAGUAGGGCGGGACACGUGGUAUCCUGUCUGAAUAUGGGGGGACCAUCCUCCAAGGCUAAAUACUCCUGACUGACCGAUAGUGAACCAGUACCGUGAGGGAAAGGCGAAAAGAACCCCGGCGAGGGGAGUGAAAAAGAACCUGAAACCGUGUACGUACAAGCAGUGGGAGCACCUUCGGGUGUGACUGCGUACCUUUUGUAUAAUGGGUCAGCGACUUAUAUUCUGUAGCAAGGUUAACCGUAUAGGGGAGCCGCAGGGAAACCGAGUCUUAACUGGGCGUUAAGUUGCAGGGUAUAGACCCGAAACCCGGUGAUCUAGCCAUGGGCAGGUUGAAGGUUGGGUAACACUAACUGGAGGACCGAACCGACUAAUGUUGAAAAAUUAGCGGAUGACUUGUGGCUGGGGGUGAAAGGCCAAUCAAACCGGGAGAUAGCUGGUUCUCCCCGAAAGCUAUUUAGGUAGCGCCUCGUGAACUCAUCUUCGGGGGUAGAGCACUGUUUCGGCUAGGGGGUCAUCCCGACUUACCAACCCGAUGCAAACUACGAAUACCGAAGAAUGUUAUCACGGGAGACACACGGCGGGUGCUAACGUCCGUCGUGAAGAGGGAAACAACCCAGACCGCCAGCUAAGGUCCCAAAGUCACAGUUAAGUGGGAAACGAUGUGGGAAGGCACAGACAGCCAGGAUGUUGGCUUAGAAGCAGCCAUCAUUUAAAGAAAGCGUAAUAGCUCACUGGUCGAGUCGGCCUGCGCGGAAGAUGUAACGGGGCUAAACUGUGCACCGAAGCUGCGGCAGCGACACUAUGUGUUGUUGGGUAGGGGAGCGUUCUGUAAGCCUGCGAAGGUGGCCUGUGAGGGUUGCUGGAGGUAUCAGAAGUGCGAAUGCUGACAUAAGUAACGAUAAUGCGGGUGAAAAGCCCGCACGCCGGAAGACCAAGGGUUCCUGUCCAACGUUAAUCGGGGCAGGGUGAGUCGACCCCUAAGGCGAGGCCGAAAGGCGUAGUCGAUGGGAAACAGGUUAAUAUUCCUGUACUUGGUGUUACUGCGAAGGGGGGACGGAGAAGGCUAUGUUAGCCGGGCGACGGUUGUCCCGGUUUAAGCAUGUAGGCGGAGGUUCCAGGUAAAUCCGGUACCUUUUUAACGCUGAGGUGUGAUGACGAGGCACUACGGUGCUGAAGUAACAAAUGCCCUGCUUCCAGGAAAAGCCUCUAAGCAUCAGGUAACAUUAAAUCGUACCCCAAACCGACACAGGUGGUCAGGUAGAGAAUACCAAGGCGCUUGAGAGAACUCGGGUGAAGGAACUAGGCAAAAUGGUGCCGUAACUUCGGGAGAAGGCACGCUGAUAUGUAGGUGAAGCCCCUGCGGGUGGAGCUGAAAUCAGUCGAAGAUACCAGCUGGCUGCAACUGUUUAUUAAAAACACAGCACUGUGCAAACACGAAAGUGGACGUAUACGGUGUGACGCCUGCCCGGUGCCGGAAGGUUAAUUGAUGGGGUUAUCCGUAAGGAGAAGCUCUUGAUCGAAGCCCCGGUAAACGGCGGCCGUAACUAUAACGGUCCUAAGGUAGCGAAAUUCCUUGUCGGGUAAGUUCCGACCUGCACGAAUGGCGUAAUGAUGGCCAGGCUGUCUCCACCCGAGACUCAGUGAAAUUGAACUCGCUGUGAAGAUGCAGUGUACCCGCGGCAAGACGGAAAGACCCCGUGAACCUUUACUAUAGCUUGACACUGAACAUUGAGCCUUGAUGUGUAGGAUAGGUGGGAGGCUUUGAAGCGUGGACGCCAGUCUGCGUGGAGCCAACCUUGAAAUACCACCCUUUAAUGUUUGAUGUUCUAACGUUGGCCCCUUAUCGGGGUUGCGGACAGUGUCUGGUGGGUAGUUUGACUGGGGCGGUCUCCUCCCAAAGAGUAACGGAGGAGCACGAAGGUUAGCUAAUCCUGGUCGGACAUCAGGAGGUUAGUGCAAUGGCAUAAGCUAGCUUGACUGCGAGCGUGACGGCGCGAGCAGGUGCGAAAGCAGGUCAUAGUGAUCCGGUGGUUCUGAAUGGAAGGGCCAUCGCUCAACGGAUAAAAGGUACUCCGGGGAUAACAGGCUGAUACCGCCCAAGAGUUCAUAUCGACGGCGGUGUUUGGCACCUCGAUGUCGGCUCAUCACAUCCUGGGGCUGAAGUAGGUCCCAAGGGUAUGGCUGUUCGCCAUUUAAAGUGGUACGCGAGCUGGGUUUAGAACGUCGUGAGACAGUUCGGUCCCUAUCUGCCGUGGGCGCUGGAGAAUUGAGGGGGGCUGCUCCUAGUACGAGAGGACCGGAGUGGACGCAUCACUGGUGUUCGGGUUGUCAUGCCAAUGGCAUUGCCCGGUAGCUAAAUGCGGAAGAGAUAAGUGCUGAAAGCAUCUAAGCACGAAACUUGCCCCGAGAUGAGUUCUCCCUGAGACUUUAAGUCUCCUGAAGGAACGUUAAAGACGAUGACGUUGAUAGGUCGGGUGUGUAAGCGUAGCGAUACGUUGAGCUAACCGAUACUAAUGAACCGUGAGGCUUAACCUU
rnacentral:rRNA from 1 species